GUACACGCUGUGACUAGCAUAUCAAUAAGCGGAGGAAAAGAAACUAACAAGGAUUCCCCUAGUAACGGCGAGUGAAGCGGGAAGAGCUCAAAUUUGAAAUCUUAAAGGGUUUCCCUUUACGAAUUGUAGUUUAAAGAAGUGUUUUCUGUUGAGGUUUUGGUAAAAGUUCUUUGGAAUAGGACAUCAUAGAGGGUGAGAAUCCCGUAUUUGACCUUUACUUUCAACUUUGUGAUACACUUUCAAAGAGUCGGAUUGUUUGGGAAUGCAGUCCAAAAUGGGUGGUAAAUUUCAUCUAAAGCUAAAUAUUGGCGAGAGACCGAUAGCGAACAAGUACCGUGAGGGAAAGAUGAAAAGAACUUUGAAAAGAGAGUUAAACAGUACGUGAAGUUGUCAGAAGGGAAGCGUUUGACACCAGUGUUGUUUUUCUGAAAAUCAAUUAAAGAACUGUUUAUGCUAAGCUGUUUAGACUUUAUCAGCUAUCUGUUUAGUUUUGAGCUUUUCUUUAAUGCACUUUUCAGUUAACAAGUCAACAUCAAUUUCUUUUGCUGUAAAAAAGCUUGAGGAAGGUGGCUUGAGAUUCGUCUUAAGUGUUUAUAGCCUCUUGCCUAUGCAGUCGGAGAGAUUGAGGUCUGCAGCGUAGAUCCUUCGGGGCUAAAUGCAUUUGUGCUAAGUUAUAGCAUUUUAUAGACAACUUGUUGACUAUGAUUUGUCUUGUAGCUUACUCGCUUAUGUUAUUUUACCUACGCUUAGGAUGUUGAAGAUGUAGCACAUCAU
rnacentral:rRNA from 1 species